CACCCCUUCCCCCAUUACUGUAAACUCCAUCUCUCCGCUGCUGUCAGCUCCUUCUUGAUCCGUACAGAAAUAAAAGUUUGCCACCAUUUUGCCUGACCUCCUCCAGAGACUCGCUUCAGGAUCCUAGAGCCAGAUCUGCACCCCACAACCUUAUCUGCUUUGGGGUCCCAAGUCCCUCAACUUCUGUCCUGACCUCCUUCCCCACAUAAAUGUAGAAGUGCGCACCAGCAUCAACAGAAUCAUUUCACUGAGACGUUUGUGAAUUGGUUUCCACCUGGGCUGGUGGGUUGAGGUCUUGUGAGUCGUGUUGUUUUAGACCCUUACUACUGAAAUGAUGGUUCUAAGCAGCAGCAACAGCACCUUGGAGCGCAUUAGAAAUGCACACACUCCGAACCUCCUGAAUUAGAAUCUACUUUUUGUUUUGUUUUGUUUUUGAGACGGAGGUUCACUCUUGUUGCCCAGGCUGGAGUGCAAUGGUGCGAUCUCAGCUCACUGCAACCUCCACCUCCUGGGUUCAAGUGAUUUUCCUGCCUCAGCCUCCCAAGUAGCUGGGAUUACAGGCGCCUGCCACACACCCAGUUAAUUUUUAUUUUGUAUUUUUAGUAGAGACGGGGUUUUACCAUGUUGGCCAGGCUGGUCUUGAACUCCUGACCUCAGGUGAUCCACCUGCCUCGGCCUCCCGAAGUGCUGGGAUUACAGGCGUGAGCCACCAUGCCCGGCCUAGAAUCUACACUCUUUUAAAAAGGGAUUCCCAGGUGAUUUGAUUGCACGUUAACGUCUGCAAAGCACUAGGUUAGAUGUGAAUCCCAGGGGAAGCAGGCUUAUGCCCGCCUGUGUAACUGACCUUCUGCAGCUCUUGGCUUAGUUGUUAGGGGCAGCUGCGAGUUGGUUGAUGACGUUACUGUAAGGAGCACUUGAAUAUUAAAUUGCAACCAACGCCUAGGAGAUUACUGCAACAAAAGGAACCCUGGUUGUAUUAUUGCAACCAGCAUCUGCAUGGUAGACUGAAUGAGAGGCCCAAGAGAUUUUGUUGCAACAAGAAUUUAGAAGCCCAUUUCCACUUCCACGCUGGCUAUUAUGAUGCAACAAAGUGGAGAAAUGGGAAGGGCUCUUGCUUUUUACUAAAUUGAGUGUACCAAAUUGGAAAAUAGUUUAAAAGCGUGUUUGUUGGCCGGGCGCGGUUGCUCACGCCUAUAAUCCCAGCACUUUGGGAGGCCAAGGCAGGUGGAUGACAAGGUCAGGAGUUCGAGACCAGCCUGACUAACAUGGUGAAACCCCGUCUCUACUAAAAAUACAAAAAUUAGCCUGGCGUGGUGACGCG
rnacentral:lncRNA from 1 species